CGGUACAAGGGAAAGAAGGGAUUGUUUAGCGAGAGCAUCGGCUUCUCGAUUACAAGAUCUAGCAACAAAAGAAAAUAUGUGCAUAAACGAUGAGAAUAGAUGGAGGAUAUCAAAGAUUAUCCCAUGGAGUUUCUUAGGCGGAUUCUUCGAGUGUAUGACUUCAAUUAAUUGUUUGCAAUCUGAAGGAACAGAUAGAUUUUGGAAACCUAGAUUGUGGGCAUCUUGCACGGCGUGGAGCAUGGCUAUUGCUUCAGCGAUUAGCGGUGAUCUGAUCCAGAGGGAGGUGGAUGAUCCUUUACAGUGUUGGCGGAUUGCUUCGUUGCGGAAGAUCCAUCCACAUCCUACGGUCUUUGUAUCUUUUUGCCAGGCUGCAUCUACGUUACAGAUGACCACAUCAGAUCUAUCAAAGGUAGAGGUAGUGUGAGUUAACCUCGGUUGUGGGGGUGUCUCAGUCUCUUGGGCUUCACACCAUUCUCUUCCCAGUGCUAUAGCUCGAGUGAGGGUUUAUUUUGGUGAUGUCGGUUUGUUAUUGAAGAUUUGGUGGUUGCGGGCGUUCCAAAUUGACCAAAAGAUCUAUGGGUAGAGGGGGUCGUAGCCUACUCCACUCGGUGGUAGACAAAUGAGUGGCUUAGACUUCUCAAUGAGAUCGCGGAUUGAGUGGAUACUGCCUUGAGGUAAAGGAUUUUUGAAGGGGGCUGCUGUCCAGACCUGUACAGCAAAAGGGCAUGUGUAGAAUAGGUUAAGCGAGGUUUCCUCCUCGCCACAGAAGGGGCAUUUUCCCUCGAUGUUGAUUGAUCGUGCUCUCAGAUUUUCGCCUGAAGGUGGUGGAGGUGGGGUGUCGGAUUUAUUGGUUUUUAUGCUUUCAUAGUAGCCCGACUUGGCUGAAUAUUUCCCAGUCUUUGUUGGGAUCCAUACAAAGUCUGCAGUUGAAGGUGAGAUCAACCAGUCCACCAUGAGGUUUUGUGUUUAUUUUGUUGGUGUGCCCAUUGGGGUCACUGGUUCCUCCUGAGAUAGCCACGGAUCAUUCCACAUUGAGGUAGUCUUCCCAUUUCCGAUUACCUUACCAAUCUCCUGCUUCAGUAGGUCUUUUCCAAUACAUAUAUCACGCCAGCCAUGGGAGGUAUUUGAAGGUGGUUCACAUUGGAGAAAGGAUAUGGAGUGACAGUACCUUCCAAGUAAGAUUUUGGCCAACAGACAAUCUGGAGAGGCCUUUCCAAGAUAUCCAACACAUACUGUUUUUCCCAGGGGAAGAAUCCCACCAGAAUCUUGUGAGGACUGAUUGUAUUCACUUGCACAAGGAACCUGGUAGUUUGAAGCACGACAUUGUAGUAGGUCAGUAUUGCUGAGAGUACAGAUUUCAGCAUAAUCAUUUUUCCUGCAGUGGAAAGGAAUCUGGAGGACCAGCUCUUAGCUCUCUGUCUGAUUUUGUCGACAAUACUAAUAAAAAGAUCCUUCUUUUUUCUUCCAAAGAUCUCCGGUAGACCUAAAUAAUUACCAAGUCCUCCUUCAUUGAUGCUUCUUCAUAUUUCUGGAGGAUUUUGAGAAGAUUGGUGCAUUCUCUUUGAUCAGUUCUACAAAAGAACAUUUUGUCAUCCGCAAAGAAGACCAGAUAGCACUUCACUGCAGAGAAUGAAGACAAACGGGGAUAGAGGGUCCCCUUGCUUGAUUCCUCUUUGGGGAUGUACUCUCCCCUGAGCCGCACCAUUUAAGAGGUAGUGUAAAGGUUCGUGAGUGAUUAGGACAUUGUCUGCGAUGACUCGCUGGGGGACAAAAGCCGAUUGAUUCUCAGAGAUAAUAUUCUGUAGUAAUGGUUUCAUUCUCCUUGUCAGUAUCUUUGAAAUGAUCUUGAAGCACUCCCGUCGAGAAGAAGCUUUGGAUCUCAGUUAUGAUUUGUUUGCCUACUGUUUUCCAAGCACUUUUGAUCUCCAUUGGUGAAGUGAACAGGUGAUGGUAAUACUCAGUUAUGACCUUGAGUAUACCAUUUUCUUCGUAGAAAGCUUCUCCCAGAUCAUUCUCGAUGACAAAGAAUUUGUUGAUGGUUGUACGGUUCUUCGUAAUUGCGUGGAAGAAGCCCGUGUUCUUAUCUCCCAUUGAGAGCCAUAAUUGUCUACUUUUUUGCUUCCAUAAUUCCUCUUCCUGUUUGUACGCUUGUUGGAGUUUCUCAGAGAUAAGUGCUAUUGCCUCUGGUACUGUAUUUGAGCAGGUCAUCGUUGUUUCCAGCUCAACUUUGCACUCGUUGAUUCUCUUUUGGCUGUUUUGGUGCUUUUAUCGACUCCAUUUGAUGAUGGAAUCUCGGCAUCUACUCAAUUUUAGUUCUACCUUUUCAUUGACCGUCAAAAUAGGUGAUUAGCGGCCUGUGGUCUGAGGCUUCAAAGGAGAGAUAUUCACAUCGACCUGAGGGGACAGGAAAUUACCAGAGUGCCUCAGAUCAUAAAGGUCACAACUUAACAUAAAAGUGCGGAGAUCGAUGAAGGAGCCUUCUGGUCGUUCAUGACCCCCAAGUUCUCAGAUGAGUCUAUUAUCUCAUUAAAGUCACCUGUUAAGAUCCACGGCUCACUUCUGUUGUGUCCAGCGUUUGAAAGUUGAGUCCAGAUUUCUUUUCUUUUGGUCUUAUCAGGUUCACCAUACACAAAUGUGGCAAAAAAGAAACGACAUUCUGCUUCAAUCAGUGUGUCAAUGAAGUUUGGACUUUCAGAUAUGACUUGGAGGUUGAUGUCGGAGGUCCAUAACAGAGCUAACCCUCCUCUUCCAGGAACAUUAUGGAUGGAGAUACUGACUUGUGAAUCUCCUUCAGGCGCCGGACUGUCAUGGGGUUACCAAGACCACAACAGUUCCAGCUAGCAAUUUUUAAGGAAGAGGAUGGGGUGGAUUUUGAAAAUCCACCUUUUUCUUUUCCAUUGGAGGAAUGAUCUUCACUUGGGGUGCUUGUGGUCCUGAAGACUGUCUCGCGAGUUCCAAUGGAUUUUUCCCAAGAGGUGGUCGUCCUCUCCUUUUUUUGAGAGCCGUAAGGGAUUGAGCUUGUGCAGUAAAGCUCUCGGUUUGAUUCUCAUGAACGUCUUGGUGGGUAGAGUUAGUGACCUCCUUGGAGAGCAAGGGGUUUUGGCUGUUGGGGUUCGUCGAGGUCGUCGCAACAAGGAUCUGGGCUGCUGUCUCCUCCAUUAGGCCUCUGCUCUCCCCCUGGAUUACUCUCUGUUUCCUGGCCAAACUUUCAGUGGGAUCAGAGCAGGUGACAUAUUGAACCGUAACUUCUCGGAGUUCACCCAUUAUUUCUUCAGUGGUAGGGGGAGGGUCAACCGUUCUGGGUAAAUCAACAAGGUUAUCAGUGAUAGUUUGUCUCUCCAAUGGUGGGCGUCUUGGUCUAGACGUUUCAGAGCUUUCCUCCCAGGGAAGCGGCGAGGAGGGGAUCUUCUGUAACUAAGAGAGUGGUGAUCACGGGAACUGGCUCAUGAUCUGGGGUUCUGUCUUUGGUCAGUCUCUCUUGGUUGUUCUCUGGAGGAUGCUUGUUUCUCCAGGCCAUUUCGUUCAACUGAGGUCCUGGAGGUUCUAUAGUUUGAAUUCUCUCCUCCUGAUAGUCGACUGUGGAGGGGGGGGAGGUCUAUGGAACCGGGUAGCAACCGAGGGUAAGAGAGUACUAGACUGAGUGGGAGGCCUGAAAUUGUCUCUUGGCAGGUAGUAAUUAGCCUGGACCGGUUGGGGGAUUGAGCUGGAUGUGUUGUUCUCUGGGGUAUUCUUUACAGGGGUUUCUUUGCGUAAGCCGGGGCAAUCUCUCACUUCGUGAGUGAGUCGAAGACAGUAGGAGCAGUGUUUCUUGAGUCCCUUAUAUUCAAGAGAGACUAGAGCUUCUCCUCCUCCAGAGAAUUCCACCACUGUUUCCUUGCAUUGCAGGUUGCCAGUAGUGCUUGGAGAGUCCUUGAACUUCGAUCCAGAAUGGAAUCAUAGAGGGGAAAGAUUCGGAGAUUAUCGGCUCCCACUUUUGGAGGAUAACCAUCUAUUGGUCAAAGUGGUAUGGUCUGUUGUCCAAGACUUUCCGAAAAUCUUCCUCAAAGUCAAAGGUGAACUGAAAACAUCCUCGACCUAGGUCAGCUCCAGUAGCUUUCCCGCGGAGGUUCCAUCUGUUUGCCAGAAAGGGGAAUAGUGACCAGAGUCGUUGGGCUGGCGGAUUCGUGAGACGUCCAAUAAGGGUUAGGUUGUUCGCUUUUAUGAUUUCGGAAGUGUCUAGCUCAGGAGCCCGGAUUCGUUUACGGGGGG